rnacentral:rRNA from 1 species
GUCCACGCCUAACGAUGGGCACUAAGUGUCGGAGGUAUUGAGCCCUCCGGUGCCGCAGCUAACGCAUUAAGUGCCCGCCUGGGAGUACGGCCGCAAGGUUGAACUCAAAGGAAUUGACGGGCCCGCACAAGCGGUGGAGCAUGUGGUUCAAUUCGACGCAACGCGAAGAACCUUACCUGGGCUUGACAUGCUGGUAGUAGAAACCUGAAAGGGCAACGAGCCCCGCAAGGGGAAGCCAGCACAGGUGCUGCAUGGCUGUCGU